GAUGAACGCUAGCUACAGGCUUAACACAUGCAAGUCGCGGGGCAGCAUGGGGGUUGCUUGCAACCCCUGAUGGCGACCGGCGCACGGGUGAGUAACGCGUAUCCAACCUGCCCUUCACCACGGGAUAACCCGGCGAAAGUCGGACUAAUACCGUAUGUUGUCCAUUGACGGCAUCCGAUCUGGACGAAAGGCUUGGCGGCGAACGGACGGGGAUGCGUCCGAUUAGCUUGACGGCGGGGGAACGGCCCACCGUGGCUACGAUCGGUAGGGGUUCUGAGAGGAAGGGCCCCCACGCGGGAACUGAGACACGGUCCAGACGCCUACGGGAGGCAGCAGUGAGGAAUAUGAGGCAAUGGGCGUAAGCCUGAACCAGCCAAGUAGCGUGCAGGAUGCCGGCCCUAUGGGUUGUAAACUGCCGUUAUGCGGGGAUAAAGUGGCCCACGUGUGGGCUUUUGCAGGUACCGCAUGAAUAAGGACCGGCUAAUUCCGUG
rnacentral:rRNA from 1 species